rnacentral:rRNA from 1 species
UGUGGUUUAAUUCGACGCAACGCGAAGAACCUUACCUGGGCUCGAAAUGCUGUGGACCAGCUUAUGAAAGUAGGCCUUCCCGCAAGGGACCGCAGUAUAGGUGCUGCAUGGCUGUCGUCAGCUCGUGUCGUGAGAUGUUGGGUUAAGUCCCGCAACGAGCGCAACCCUUGUCCUGUGUUGCCAUACCGAAAGGUGGAACUCGCAGGAGACCGCCAGGGAUAACCUGGAGGAAGGUGGGGAUGACGUCAAGUCCUCAUGGCCUUUAUGUCCAGGGCUACACACGUGCUACAAUGGACGGUACAAAGGGCUGCCAACCCGCGAGGGGGAGCCAAUCCCAAAAAACCGUUCUCAGUUCGGAUUGCAGGCUGCAACUCGCCUGCAUGAAGCUGGAAUCGCUAGUAAUGGCAGAUCAGAACGCUGCCGUGAAUACGUUCCCGGGCCUUGU